rnacentral:rRNA from 1 species
UACGUAGGGUGCGAGCGUUGUCCGGAAUUAUUGGGCGUAAAGAGCGUGUAGGCGGUCAGGUAGGUCCGUUGUGAAAACUCGAGGCUCAACCUCGAGACGCCGAUGGAAACCAUCUGACUAGAGUCCGGAAGAGGAGAGUGGAAUUCCUGGUGUAGCGGUGAAAUGCGCAGAUAUCAGGAAGAACACCCGUGGCUAAGGCGGCUCUCUAGUACGGUACUGACGCUGAGACGCGAAAGCGUGGGGAGCGAACAGG